GAUAUAGCGCAGUGGUUAGUACGACUGCCUUUGAUGCAGAAGGUUCCGGGUUCAACCCCGGUGGGUCA